AAAAAAAAAUAUUUACUUAUAAAAUAUACCAGGGCCAUCACAGCAAAAAUAUGAUAGCGGUCCAUCGUAGGGUCCUUUCUUCUGUAGAUCAUGCUUGGUACUAAAUGCAGCACCCACCCUUCUGAGGUGUUGCCCAUGAGACGAAGAGCCAUGACCCACCCCAUAAGCUCUCUUCAUUAUAGCCCAAUCCUUAUGGUCCUUCCUCCUUGUGCGG
rnacentral:lncRNA from 1 species